AGCAGACGCCAACUUCGCCGUCGAAUUUUAUAAGGUUCCGUGUCUAGACGGUGUUUACUUCAGUCAGGAAUCGGACUUCGAAAUGGAACCUUAUCGGUGUGAUUGAUUAACUGAAUCGCGUAUCAUCAAACUCGAUAUUUCUAAGUUAAAUUAUGGCUUUUGGAUUCACUGUUGCAAAUGAUGUUUAUUGGUUACUUUUCGUGGUUGUGUUCUUUUCAGCAAAUUUGGGAGACUCUCUGCUGCUGAUAAAUGUUAAAAAUCAGGGAGGAGAUGUCCUACAAGAGACAAUAUCUGCCAAUGUCAGUGAUGACACGGUCUUGCUGGAGUUCCAGAGAUCUGACGGAACCUUGGUCACACAACUGGUGGACUUUAGACAUGAGGUGCAGAUAUUAAAGGCCUUAGUUCUGGGAGAGGAGGAAAGAGGCCAAAGCCAGUAUCAGGUCAUGUGCUUCGUCAACCACAUUGACAAAAUGGAGUUUAUAUCACCUGACGCCAUGGCCAAACUAAGACAGAAAAACCCUGGCACAGUGCGGACGCCAGAGGAGGACCGGGGCCGGGAGAACAUGACUAUGGAGCUGUUUGUAGACGUGGCACGUGCCGGAGUCAUCUCUAGACACGUGCCGGUGUUGUGUGCCGAGGCCAGCGAUGCUACAUACACCCGACGUGCCGACAUAGACAUGUGGAGUCAGCUACCAGGUUCCUCUAAAGCGUCGUUGUUGGCAGCAGUGAGAGAAUACAACGGUUUGGUGCCUCCACCGCAGAGAUGUCUAGAGACCCAUGCGCCGUGGCAAGCCUGUACUUGUCACCUGGAGCUGUGCAUUGGCUGGUACCCCUGCGGCCUCAAGUACUGCAGGGGGGCCAACCCGCGUACAGCCAACUACAGGUGUGGCAUCCGCACGUGUCGCAAGUGUAGUCUCUACCUCUACUACGUCCGUCAGAAGCAACUCUGUCUGUGGGAUGAAUGACCCUCGUAGUAAAUGAACACUUCACCGGUGACUGGUAGUAAAUGAACACUUCACCGGUGACUGGUAGUAAAUGAACACUUCACCGGUGACUGGUAGUAAAUGAACACUUCACUGGUGACUGGACGGUUUUGUACUAGUUUCUGUAGACUUUACCUGUAACUGUGAGGUGAGAAAGAAUUUAUAUUUUUUAGUUUGUAAUUUUCUACUGAUAAUCUCUUCCAGGGCCCUGUGAGAAAGAAUUUAUAUUUUUUAGUUUGUAAUUUUCUACUGAUAAUCUCUUCCAGGGCCCUGUGAGAGAUGUAGUGAUUAAGAUUUCAACAAGACUUUGAACAAGUUAU